GACGAACGCUGGCGGCGUGCUUAACACAUGCAAGUCGAACGGAAAGGCCCUGCUUUUGUGGGGUGCUCGAGUGGCGAACGGGUGAGUAACACGUGAGUAACCUGCCCUUGACUUUGGGAUAACUUCAGGAAACUGGGGCUCAUACCGGAUAGGAGCUCCUUCUGCAUGGUGGGGGUUGGAAAGUUUCGGCGGUUGGGGAUGGACUCGCGGCUUAUCAGCUUGUUGGUGGGGUAGUGGCUUACCAAGGCUUUGACGGGUAGCCGGCCUGAGAGGGUGACCGGCCACAUUGGGACUGAGAUACGGCCCAGACUCCUACGGGAGGCAGCAGUGGGGAAUAUUGCACAAUGGGCGGAAGCCUGAUGCAGCAACGCCGCGUGCGGGAUGACGGCCUUCGGGUUGUAAACCGCUUUCGCCUGUGACGAAGCGUGAGUGACGGUAAUGGGUAAAGAAGCACCGGCUAACUACGUG
rnacentral:rRNA from 1 species